UCAAGUGAAGAAGCGCAUACGGUGGAUGCCUUGGCAGUCAGAGGCGAUGAAAGACGUGGUAGCCUGCGAUAAGCUUCGGGGAGUCGGCAAACAGACUUUGAUCCGGAGAUCUCUGAAUGGGGGAACCCACCUAGGAUAACCUAGGUAUCUUGUACUGAAUCCAUAGGUGCAAGAGGCGAACCAGGGGAACUGAAACAUCUAAGUACCCUGAGGAAAAGAAAUCAACCGAGAUUCCCUUAGUAGUGGCGAGCGAACGGGGAUUAGCCCUUAAGCUUCAUUGAUUUUAGCGGAACGCUCUGGAAAGUGCGGCCAUAGUGGGUGAUAGCCCCGUACGCGAAAGGAUCUUUGAAGUGAAAUCGAGUAGGACGGAGCACGAGAAACUUUGUCUGAACAUGGGGGGACCAUCCUCCAAGGCUAAAUACUACUGACUGACCGAUAGUGAACCAGUACCGUGAGGGAAAGGCGAAAAGAACCCCGGAGAGGGGAGUGAAAUAGAACCUGAAACCGUAUGCGUACAAGCAGUGGGAGCCUACUUGUUAGGUGACUGCGUACCUUUUGUAUAAUGGGUCAGCGACUUAUAUUCAGUGGCGAGCUUAACCGAAUAGGGUAGGCGUAGCGAAAGCGAGUCUUAAUAGGGCGUUUAGUCGCUGGGUAUAGACCCGAAACCGGGCGAUCUAUCCAUGAGCAGGUUGAAGGUUAGGUAACACUGACUGGAGGACCGAACCCACUCCCGUUGAAAAGGUAGGGGAUGACUUGUGGAUCGGAGUGAAAGGCUAAUCAAGCUCGGAGAUAGCUGGUUCUCCUCGAAAGCUAUUUAGGUAGCGCCUCAUGUAUCACUCUGGGGGGUAGAGCACUGUUUCGGCUAGGGGGUCAUCCCGACUUACCAAACCGAUGCAAACUCCGAAUACCCAGAAGUGCCGAGCAUGGGAGACACACGGCGGGUGCUAACGUCCGUCGUGAAAAGGGAAACAACCCAGACCGCCAGCUAAGGUCCCAAAGUUGUGGUUAAGUGGUAAACGAUGUGGGAAGGCUUAGACAGCUAGGAGGUUGGCUUAGAAGCAGCCAUCCUUUAAAGAAAGCGUAAUAGCUCACUAGUCGAGUCGGCCUGCGCGGAAGAUGUAACGGGGCUCAAACCACACACCGAAGCUGCGGGUGUCACGUAAGUGACGCGGUAGAGGAGCGUUCUGUAAGCCUGUGAAGGUGAGUUGAGAAGCUUGCUGGAGGUAUCAGAAGUGCGAAUGCUGACAUGAGUAACGACAAUGGGUGUGAAAAACACCCACGCCGAAAGACCAAGGGUUCCUGCGCAACGUUAAUCGACGCAGGGUUAGUCGGUUCCUAAGGCGAGGCUGAAAAGCGUAGUCGAUGGGAAACAGGUUAAUAUUCCUGUACUUCUGGUUACUGCGAUGGAGGGACGGAGAAGGCUAGGCCAGCUUGGCGUUGGUUGUCCAAGUUUAAGGUGGUAGGCUGAAAUCUUAGGUAAAUCCGGGGUUUCAAGGCCGAGAGCUGAUGACGAGUCGUCUUUUAGAUGACGAAGUGGUUGAUGCCAUGCUUCCAAGAAAAGCUUCUAAGCUUCAGGUAACCAGGAACCGUACCCCAAACCGACACAGGUGGUCGGGUAGAGAAUACCAAGGCGCUUGAGAGAACUCGGGUGAAGGAACUAGGCAAAAUGGCACCGUAACUUCGGGAGAAGGUGCGCCGGCUAGGGUGAAGGAUUUACUCCGUAAGCUCUGGCUGGUCGAAGAUACCAGGCCGCUGCGACUGUUUAUUAAAAACACAGCACUCUGCAAACACGAAAGUGGACGUAUAGGGUGUGACGCCUGCCCGGUGCCGGAAGGUUAAUUGAUGGGGUUAGCGCAAGCGAAGCUCUUGAUCGAAGCCCCGGUAAACGGCGGCCGUAACUAUAACGGUCCUAAGGUAGCGAAAUUCCUUGUCGGGUAAGUUCCGACCUGCACGAAUGGCGUAACGAUGGCGGCGCUGUCUCCACCCGAGACUCAGUGAAAUUGAAAUCGCUGUGAAGAUGCAGUGUAUCCGCGGCUAGACGGAAAGACCCCGUGAACCUUUACUGUAGCUUUGCACUGGACUUUGAGCCUGCUUGUGUAGGAUAGGUGGGAGGCUUUGAAGCGUGGACGCCAGUUCGCGUGGAGCCAUCCUUGAAAUACCACCCUGGCAUGCUUGAGGUUCUAACUCUGGUCCGUGAUCCGGAUCGAGGACAGUGUAUGGUGGGCAGUUUGACUGGGGCGGUCUCCUCCUAAAGAGUAACGGAGGAGUACGAAGGUGCGCUCAGACCGGUCGGAAAUCGGUCGCAGAGUAUAAAGGCAAAAGCGCGCUUGACUGCGAGACAGACACGUCGAGCAGGUACGAAAGUAGGUCUUAGUGAUCCGGUGGUUCUGUAUGGAAGGGCCAUCGCUCAACGGAUAAAAGGUACUCCGGGGAUAACAGGCUGAUACCGCCCAAGAGUUCAUAUCGACGGCGGUGUUUGGCACCUCGAUGUCGGCUCAUCACAUCCUGGGGCUGAAGCCGGUCCCAAGGGUAUGGCUGUUCGCCAUUUAAAGUGGUACGCGAGCUGGGUUUAGAACGUCGUGAGACAGUUCGGUCCCUAUCUGCCGUGGACGUUUGAGAUUUGAGAGGGGCUGCUCCUAGUACGAGAGGACCGGAGUGGACGAACCUCUGGUGUUCCGGUUGUCACGCCAGUGGCAUUGCCGGGUAGCUAUGUUCGGAAAAGAUAACCGCUGAAAGCAUCUAAGCGGGAAACUUGCCUCAAGAUGAGAUCUCACUGGGAACUUGAUUCCCCUGAAGGGCCGUCGAAGACUACGACGUUGAUAGGCUGGGUGUGUAAGCGUUGUGAGGCGUUGAGCUAACCAGUACUAAUUGCCCGUGAGGCUUGACCA
rnacentral:rRNA from 1 species